rnacentral:rRNA from 1 species
ACAAGCCAUGCAUGCCCGCACACCCGGGAGGCGGCGGACGGCUCAGGACAACGGUUGCACCCCUCGCGGCGGUCCCUGCUAGCCGGACACCGCUGGCAACCCGGCGCCAAGACGUGCGCGCAAGUGCGGGCGCCCGCGGG